UUCUGGCACAGUGCUCAAAACAGUGAGUGGUCAACUUUGCGCCUGGCAGAUCUUUUAUAAUAAAUGUAAUAUUGUAACUGAUAUCUGAAACUGAGAAGGAGAUGUCUUAUAAGGCAGUCUAAGAUGAACAAUGUAGACUGUCCCCCUUGAGUGAUAUUUUUAGCCAUGAAUUUGUAAAAUUUUGUUUACCUUUUCAGAAAUAAAUUCAAGAUUGUCUGGACAACACUUAUACUACAUCAAGACAGAUCUGUCUUAGAGACAACCUAUUAAAAAGCAGGAAGCCAGUAACCUGUAGGAAAGCUUAACACAAAUUUCAAAUGCCCAUAUUUUCCAUUCUUAAAUAACUUUUUUUUUUUUUUUGUGUGGGGGUUUUUUUUUUUUUUUUUUGAUAGGAAAAGUGCCACUCUGACAACAUAUUCAGCUUCUUCUAUAUCCAGAGGUAGAUAUGCAAGUUAUCACAAUGUCGAUACAAAGAUGGCAAUCUCAGUCCUGAUAUUUAUCAUUUUGAAGACAGCAUCAGUGCGCCAGACUUUGUGCUGUGCAAGCCAGCUACUGUACAUAGGAUGGCAAAGGAGCUAAGAGUUAAGGUCAUUCGUGAAGACCAAUCCUGUAAGCCUGUACUGAAAGGUGGCUCCACCGCCCCAGCAGACAGCAACUUGCAGGCACUCCUGCACAGCCAGAAAGAACAGAAGAGGAGACUUCAGAUAAAGAAGUGUUGCAACUCCCUGCGAGACCUGUUGCCAUUUGUAACUGGCCGACUGGAUACCGCCACCAUCCUGGAACUGACCGUGUCCUACGUAACCUACCUCCAGCAGCGAAUGCCGUCAGACAUUUUGGAAAAGCAAAAUGAAUAUGCUGAAGGAGAAACCUACAGUUAAACCGGCAACAACCGAGGAGGAUUUUGCUAAUGGUAUUAACCUGCUCGUGUUGUAUGUGAAAUGUCCUGCUGUGUUUUAAUUUACAUUUAAGAAAACAAGCUGCCAUCCUGUAAUUUCUGGAAAAUGUGGUUAUCUUGUAGAAUUCAUUGCUGCCAAUGUUUUGGGGAGGCACAUUCAGCCAAGGAAAGAAAGCACCCUGCUUCCCACUGUACCAGCGUGUCCUUUGCAAGUGGGCCAACCAUUUCCCACACCGCUGGAUCUGAACACAAGUCCUGCCAAAACUGUAAUAUUGCAGCAAAAUCCUCCUCCAUUUGGUC
rnacentral:lncRNA from 1 species